rnacentral:lncRNA from 8 species
GAUGGUAAUCAAACCCAGCCUGCCACUCUCCUUUACCGGACCUAAAUCUGAGGGUCCUGAUUGUAACAGUAAAGCCCAGAGUGAACAGCAGGCUCCAGAGAUGGCAUCAGUGAAGCAGGAAGACUGCAGUCAAACACUGGGGCUGAAUGUCAACAUUAAAGAUGAAGUAAAGGAGGAAGAGAUUGAAACAUUUGUGUAUCAUGGUAAAAGCAGAGCACCGCCUGUUUUCACAGUCUGCUAGUAGGACCAUUUGUAAUAUCAGAUUUGCCUUUAAGGUCAUAAUGAAUAAGAUAUGAACAGCAGGAACCUGCUCUUAAACCAGCUAGCACAUUUGCUUCCUUGGAAGUUGUGGGAAUGUACGUUUUUGGUUUCCCAUUGGUUCUGGGAACAAAGCCAAAAGUUUCCUGACUGGUAAAAUUGAGAAUAAAAAAAUUAAACGUUCUGAGAAUGCAAGUGAACAUUCCACCUGUUCUAGAUUGCAGGGACGUUCUGAGAACGUUUUACUAUGGUUCCCAGAAUGUUUUCAUGGGAUGUUUUAUUAACCUAUAAUUUCCAUUCUCAGAAUGUUAUUUAAAGGUAAUUAAAUGACGUUCUGAGAACAUAUUUCAAUAAGACUUAACACUGCUAGCUUAGUUUGGGUUACCGGUUGUGAACUCCAAGCACAGGUAGGACACAUGGAUAUUAAUUUGCUUAGGUAUUAAUCAUGCAAACACACCUUUUUUUUGUGGCACUGCAUCAAUGCGAUUCUAACCUAUGAUCUUCUGCUCUCUAUUCCUGGAAUUAGUCCACUGCUCUGUUCAUUUUAGUCUAUUCAAACAGACUCCAUUUCAAAGUAAAUAAUCACUCAUUAAGAUCAGGUGUGUCCAAUAAGUGGGUGCGGCAAACCCACCUGAACACACUUAACAGGAUAGGAUAGAGUUUUGUUGAUGGGAGAUUCGGAAGUGUGUUGAAUGAAGUCCAGCGGUCAGAGAGACAAAAGAAGGGGAGAGCUGAAGGUUUUCCGACACGAGAAGAGGCCGGCUGGAGAGCUCAAAGAAAAGACGGAAGAAAAGAAAGUCUUACUACUCAAAGAUAAAGGAAAAAGAAAACCCAAAGGAAUGGAGAAGGAAACUGAAAAAAAGAGGCACCGAUUCACCCCUGGAGAUGAGGAUCUUAUUAUUUCAGGGGUACUUGGGCACUGGGAGGACCUCUUCGGUGCCCAGGCCCACAUUCGCCCCCGGGGGUCAAAGACGGCAACCUGGAACACCAUCGCGGGGACCUUGACCCCUACAUCAGCUGUGGCGAGAUGUGGUGAUGAUGUCCGGAAGAAGUACAAUCUCAUAAGGAGCCAAAUCAAGCAAAAGGUUUCUUCUAUCCGGACAUUGUCCACCCAGACUGGUGGGGGGCCCAACACCGUGCCGGCGCUGACCGACCUGGAGCAGCAACUGCUUUCCCGAAUGGCAGAGACCGAAGCUGGUGUAGGGCCUGCUGAUUUGGGAUUUGGUCUCUCUCAGGGAGAAAUCUCCAGCUCUGGUCCCCUACCAGCAGCACAGGGAACUGUGGAGUCAGCUUUACCCUCUGUCACCAUGGAGGAGCUACCCUCCACCUCGCCAUCAACACCUUGGCCAGCACCAACAGUGCCACCCCAACCCAUCACCUCCCGUCCUGCACCAUCUCACUCUGGCUCUACACCCCAACCCAUCACCUCCCGUCCUGCACCAGCUCACUCAAUCCAGGCUCAAUCAAUGAAUCAAAUUUAUUUUAUAAAGCCCUUUUUACAUCAGCAGUUGUCACAAAGUGCUUUACAAAUACCUAGCUUAAAACCCCAAAUAGCAAGCAAUGCAGAUGCACUCUCUGGCUGUAAACCCCAACCCAUCACCUCCUGUCCUGCACCAUCUCACUCCAUCCACUCUGGCUCUACACCCCAACCCAUCACCUCCUGUCCUGCACCAUCUCACUCUGGCUCUACACCCCAACCCAUCACCUCCUGUCCUGCACCAUCUCACUCCAUCCACUCUGGCUCUACACCCCAACCCAUCACCACCUGUCCUGCACCAUCUCACUCUGGCUCUACACCCCAACCCAUCACCUCCUGUCCUGCACCAUCUCACUCCAUCCACUCUGGCUCUACAUCCCAACCCAUCACGUCUGGCUGGACACCACAGGGCCCCCAAGCCAAUCUGUUCCAACAAAUCCUGGACACACAAACACAACAAAUCCAUGUUACACAGACCGCCCAACACAUCCACCAAGCUCUUUAUGAUUUAUUACAAAAAGCACAUGAAACACAGAAGGCACACCUGGAUGUGGAGAAGAACCGGCUCCAGCUGGAUAGAGAGCGCUUGAGGGUGGAGACAGAGCGCCUGCAGGUGGAGAGGGAGCGCCUUCAGCUGGAGAAGGAUCGCCUGGGGGAAGGGGAGGCCCGGGAGGUGCUUCGGCAGCUCUCUGUCUCCGGGUCAGUCGCCCUAGAACACCAGACGCCUGUGAGUUCAAGAACUGCCAGUGCCUCCCCCACCCUUCCUCUGGGAACACCAUCAGCCUCCAUGUCCAGUCCCCUCACAUUAAUAUCACCUACUGCACCACACUUUGAUUUCUUAUUUUCCCCAUUCCCAUUACCGGUAAUCACAACCCAUUCCACCNNNNNNNNNNNNNNNNNNNNNNNNNNNNNNNNNNNNNNNNNNNNNNNNNNCAGCCCUGCCCCAACCUCCCCUACCUUAACCAGCCCUGCUCCAACCACCCCUACCUUAACCGUUUCUGCCCACUCUCUCAUCCCUACAAUCUCCGGAUCUGUUAAACGGCGAGUUCAGGAGACAGUCCGGCCUUGGUCUACACCCACUGCUAAGAAUAAAAAACAUCAAUAAACAAAUAAUGUAAUAAAAUACAAGUGUUUAUCUUUUCUUACAGCCUCUUCACACUUCCUACACAUUACUCACAUGUAGUCUUGCUACGGAGAAGGAGUGGAAGGAUGAUAGGUCCUCCGGAAGUUUUGUUUUUUUCCAGUUCUGCAUAACUGUUGUGUUAGCAACCCUGUUGUGUUAGCACGUAGUGAGUCACUCAGCCAUGGAGCGGGAGAGGAGGAUCGGGCUGCCCAGGAAGAAAGGGGACAGUUGGAGUCGAAGAGAGGAGAGUAGGGUUGAAAAGGCAGUCAGGAGACAGAAGGAAGGAUUUAACAGAAGGAAGAGGAUGGGAUAGAAGAGUAGUGGGAGAGAGUGAAGAUUGCAUCGGUGGUCUCAUUCUGUGAGCUUGGUUGGCAUAACACUUCGCGCCUGAGCCGAACAGUCAGAGCGGGUCUCACUCUGACUUUGAAUGUGAAUUUGCGCCACCUCAGAUCAUUCAACCAGAAAAGCGGGCUGUUCCACCUUGGUAGGGGGUCUGGCCGUUGCCCACUGGUUAGCCAAAUGCUCAAUAUAAAGGAUUGACAACAGAAAAAUAGUGCAAAAAUAAAUAAAAACACAGGCUCAUGGGCCGUAAUAAAAUACAUGUCUUUUUUUUUUUUUACACACAAUGUAUUCAGAUCCCUGGACUCUUCCCACAUUUUGUUACGUUACAGCCUUAUUCUAAAAUGGAUUAAAUAUUGUUUCCCUCAAUCUACACACAAUACCCUAUAAUGACAUAGCGAAAACAGUAUGUUGUUAAUUUACAACAAAAAAAUAUCAUUAAUACCUUAUUUACAUAAGUAUUCAGACCCUUUGCAAUGAGACUCAAUUGCGCUCCGGUGCAUCAUGUUUCCAUCAAUUUGUAGAAACAUCAAGGAUGAAGUCCACCUGCGGUAAAUUCAAUUGAUUGGAUAUGAUUUGGAAAGGGGCACACCAGUCUAUACAAGGUCCCACAGUGGAUGUCGGAGCAAAAACCAAGACAUGCGGUCGACGGAAUUGUCCAUAGAGCUCUGAUACAGGAUUGUGUCGAACAGAUCUGGGGAAGGGUACCAACACGUUUAUGCAGCAUUGAAGGUCCCCAAGAACACUGCCUCCGUCAUUCUUAAAUGGAAGACGUUUGCAACCACCAAGACUCUUCCUAGAGCUGGCCGCCUGCCCAAACUGAGCAAUCGGGGUAGAAGGGCCUUGGUCAGGAAGGUGACACUCUGACAGAGCUCCAGAGUUCCUCUGUGGAGAUGGUUGUCCUUCUUGAAGGUUCUCCCAUCUCUGUAGCACUCCACUAAUCAGGCCUUUAUGGUAGUGGCCAGAUGGAAGCCAAUCCUCAAUAAAAGGCACAUGACCGCCCGCUUGGAGUUUGCCAAACGGCACCUAAAGGACUCUCAGACCAUGAGAAACUAGAUUCUCUGGUCUGAUGAAACCAAGAUUGAACUCUUUAGCUUGAAUACCAAGCAUUACGUCUGGAGGAAACCUGGUACCAUCCCUACGGUGAAGCAUGGUGGUGGCAGCAUCAUGCUGUGGCAAUGUUUUUCAGUGGCAGGGACUGGGAGUAGAGGGAAAGAUGAACGGAGCAAAGUACAGGGAAAUCCUUGAUGAAAACCUGCUCCAGAUUGCUCAGGACCUCAGACUGCCGUGAAGGUUCACCUUCCAAGAGGACAAUGACCCUAAGCACACAGCCAAGACAACACAGGAGUGGCUUCAGGAGAGGUCUCUGAAUGUCCUUGAGUGGUCCAGCCAGAGUCCGGACAUGAACCCGAUCAAACAUCUAUGGAGAGACCUGAAAAUAGCUGUGCAGCGACGCCCCACACCCAACCUGACAGAGCUUGAGAGGAUCUGCAGAGAAUAAUGAAGGAACUCCCCAAAUACACAUGUGCCAAGUUUGUAGUGUCAUACACAAGAAAACCCAAGGCUGUAAUCCCUGCCAAAGGUGCUUCAACAAAGUACUGAGUAAAGGGUAUGAAUACUUAUUUAAAAUGUAAUAUUUCUGUUUUUAUCAUGAAUUUGCAAACAUUUCUAAAAAC